GACGAACGCUGGCGGCGUGCUUAACACAUGCAAGUCGAACGGAAAGGCCCUGCUUUUGUGGGGUGCUCGAGUGGCGAACGGGUGAGUAACACGUGAGUAACCUGCCCUUGACUUUGGGAUAACUUCAGGAAACUGGGGCUAAUACCGGAUAGGAGCUCCUGCUGCAUGGUGGGGGUUGGAAAGUUUCGGCGGUUGGGGAUGGACUCGCGGCUUAUCAGCUUGUUGGUGGGGUAGUGGCUUACCAAGGCUUUGACGGGUAGCCGGCCUGAGAGGGUGACCGGCCACAUGGGGACUGAGAUACGGCCCAGACUCCUACGGGAGGCAGCAGUGGGGAAUAUUGCACAAUGGGCGGAAGCCUGAUGCAGCAACGCCGCGUGCGGGAUGACGGCCUUCGGGUUGUAAACCGCUUUCGCCUGUGACGAAGCGUGAGUGACGGUAAUGGGUAAAGAAGCACCGGCUAAUUACGG
rnacentral:rRNA from 1 species